rnacentral:rRNA from 1 species
UACGAAGGACCCAAGCGUUAUCCGGAUUUAUUGGGUUUAAAGGGUGCGUAGGCGGAUUAUUAAGUCAGUGGUGAAAGCCUUCAGCUUAACUGAAGAACUGCCAUUGAUACUGAUGAUCUUGAAUAUGAUUGAGGUGGGCGGAAUGUGUCAUGUAGCGGUGAAAAUGCUUAGAUAUGACACAGAACACCAAUUGCGAAGGCAGCUGGCUACGCGAAUAUUGACACUGAUGCACGAAAGCGUGGGGAUCAAACAGG